rnacentral:rRNA from 1 species
CGAACGGGUGAGUAACGCGUGAGGAACCUGCCCCAAAGAGGGGGACAACAGUUGGAAACGACUGCUAAUACCGCAUAAGCCCACGGCUCGGCAUCGAGCAGAGGGAAAAGGAGCAAUCCGCUUUGAGAUGGCCUCGCGUCCGAUUAGCUAGUUGGUGAGGUAACGGCCCACCAAGGCGACGAUCGGUAGCCGGACUGGGAGGUUGAACGGCCACAUUGGGACUGAGACACGGCCCAG